CCUACGGGAGGCAGCAGUGGGGAACAUUGGACAAUGGGCGAAAGCCUGAUCCAGCAAUGCCGCGUGUGUGAAGAAGGCCUUCGGGUUGUAAAGCACUUUUGUCCGGAAAGAAAUCCUUGGCUCUAAUACAGUCGGGGGAUGACGGUACCGGAAGAAUAAGCACCGGCUAACUACGUGCCAGCAGCCGCGGUAAUACGUAGGGUGCGAGCGUUAAUCGGAAUUACUGGGCGUAAAGCGUGCGCAGGCGGUUUGCUAAGACCGAUGUGAAAUCCCCGGGCUCAACCUGGGAACUGCAUUGGUGACUGGCAGGCUAGAGUAUGGCAGAGGGGGGUAGAAUUCCACGUGUAGCAGUGAAAUGCGUAGAGAUGUGGAGGAAUACCGAUGGCGAAGGCAGCCCCCUGGGCCGAUACUGACGCUCAUGCACGAAAGCGUGGGGAGCAAACAGGAUUAGAUACCCUGGUAGUCCACGCCCUAAACGAUGUCAACUAGUUGUUGGGGAUUCAUUUCCUUAGUAACGUAGCUAACGCGUGAAGUUGACCGCCUGGGGAGUACGGUCGCAAGAUUAAAACUCAAAGGAAUUGACGGGGACCCGCACAAGCGGUGGAUGAUGUGGAUUAAUUCGAUGCAACGCGAAAAACCUUACCUACCCUUGACAUGGUCGGAAUCCCGCUGAGAGGUGGGAGUGCUCGAAAGAGAACCGGCGCACAGGUGCUGCAUGGCUGUCGUCAGCUCGUGUCGUGAGAUGUUGGGUUAAGUCCCGCAACGAGCGCAACCCUUGUCCUUAGUUGCUACGCAAGAGCACUCUAAGGAGACUGCCGGUGACAAACCGGAGGAAGGUGGGGAUGACGUCAAGUCCUCAUGGCCCUUAUGGGUAGGGCUUCACACGUCAUACAAUGGUCGGAACAGAGGGUUGCCAACCCGCGAGGGGGAGCUAAUCCCAGAAAACCGAUCGUAGUCCGGAUUGCACUCUGCAACUCGAGUGCAUGAAGCUGGAAUCGCUAGUAAUCGCGGAUCAGCGUGCCGCGGUGAAUACAUUCCCGGGCCUUGUACACACCGCC
rnacentral:rRNA from 1 species